CCUACGGGUGGCAGCAGUGGGGAAUAUUGCACAAUGGGCGCAAGCCUGAUGCAGCCAUGCCGCGUGUGUGAAGAAGGCCUUCGGGUUGUAAAGCACUUUCAGCGGGGAGGAAGGCGUUAAGGUUAAUAACCUUGUCGAUUGACGUUACCCGCAGAAGAAGCACCGGCUAACUCCGUGGCCAGCAGCCGCGGUAAUACGGAGGGUGCAAGCGUUAAUCGGAAUUACUGGGCGUAAAGCGCACGCAGGCGGUCUGUCAAGUCGGAUGUGAAAUCCCCGGGCUCAACCUGGGAACUGCAUUCGAAACGGGCAGGCUAGAGUCGUGUAGAGGGGGGUAGAAGUCCAGGUGUAGCGGUGAAAUGCGGAGAGAUCUGGAGGAAUACAGGUGGCGAAGGCGGCACCCUGGACAAAGACUGACGCUCAGGUGCGAAAGCGUGGGGAGCAAACAGGAUUAGAUACCCCGGUAGUC
rnacentral:rRNA from 1 species